rnacentral:rRNA from 1 species
CACGUAGGGCGCAAGCGUUGUCCGGAAUUAUUGGGCGUAAAGAGCUCGUAGGCGGUUUGUCGCGUCGGAUGUGAAAUCCCAGGGCUCAACCCUGGGCCUGCAUUCGAUACGGGCAGACUAGAGUAUGGCAGGGGAGACUGGAAUUCCUGGUGUAGCGGUGAAAUGCGCAGAUAUCAGGAGGAACACCGGUGGCGAAGGCAGGUCUCUGGGCCAAAACUGACGCUGAGGAGCGAAAGCGUGGGGAGCGAACAGG